rnacentral:rRNA from 1 species
UGCAAGCGUUAAUCGGAAUUACUGGGCGUAAAGCGUGCGCAGGCGGUUUUGUAAGUCUGUCGUGAAAUCCCCGGGCUCAACCUGGGAAUUGCGAUGGAGACUGCAAGGCUAGAAUCUGGCAGAGGGGGGUAGAAUUCCACGUGUAGCAGUGAAAUGCGUAGAGAUGUGGAGGAACACCGAUGGCGAAGGCAGCCCCCUGGGUCAAGAUUGACGCUCAUGCACGAAAGCGUGGGGAGCAAACAGG